rnacentral:rRNA from 1 species
UACAGAGGUCCCAAGCGUUGUUCGGAUUCACUGGGCGUAAAGGGUGCGUAGGUGGCCAGGUAAGUUUGGUGUGAAAGCUCGGAGCUUAACUCCGAAAAGUCAUUGAAUACUAUCUGGCUGGAGGGUCGGAGGGGAGACUGGAAUUCUCGGUGUAGCAGUGAAAUGCGUAGAUAUCGAGAGGAACGCCAGUGGCGAAGGCGAGUCUCUGGACGACUCCUGACACUGAGGCACGAAAGCUAGGGGAGCAAACAGG